AGAGUUUGAUCCUGGCUCAGAACGAACGCUGGCGGCGUGGAUAAGACAUGCAAGUCGAGCGGGAUUUCUUUUGGUAGCAAUACCGAAGGAAGUCUAGCGGCGAACGGGUGCUUAACACGUGGGCAACCUGCCAAGAAGUGGGGGAUAGCUCGCCGAAAGGCGAAUUAAUACCGCAUGUGAUUAGAGAGGACAUCCUUUCGAAAUUAAAGUCGGGGCAACCUGACGCUUUUUGUGGGGCCCGCGGCCUAUCAGCUAGUUGGUGAGGUAACGGCCCACCAAGGCUUUGACGGGUAGCUGGUCUGAGAGGACGACCAGCCACACUGGGACUGAGACACGGCCCAGACACCUACGGGUGGCAGCAGUCGAGAAUUUUUGACAAUGGGGGAAACCCUGAUCGAGCGACGCCGCGUGGAGGAUGAAGGUCUUCGGAUUGUAAACUCCUGUCAUUGGGGAAUAAGGUGCAUACGUUAACUGCGUGUGUAUUGAUAGUACCCGAAGAGGAAGAGACGGCUAACUCUGUGCCAGCAGCCGCGGUAAUACAGAGGUCUCAAGCGUUGUUCGGAUUCAUUGGGCGUAAAGGGUGCGUAGGCGGCGCGGUAAGUCGGGUGUGAAAUCUCGGGGCUUAACUCCGAAACUGCAUUCGAUACUGCCGUGCUUGAGGACUGGAGAGGAGACUGGAAUUUACGGUGUAGCGGUGAAAUGCGUAGAUAUCGUAAGGAAGACCAGUGGCGAAGGCGGGUCUCUGGACAGUUCCUGACGCUGAGGCACGAAGGUCAGGGGAGCAAACGGGAUUAGAUACCCCAGUAGUCC
rnacentral:rRNA from 1 species